rnacentral:lncRNA from 1 species
UCACGAUUGGCUGAAUCACAGAUAUCAGAAGAACGCCUAAACUUUGUUUUCAGACAAUUCUUCUGUUUCUUUUGUUGCUCAGUGUAGAUGAAUCAAGCCUGCUGUCUGUGCAAAGAAGGAUGAGUACAGUAGAACUGCUGAAGCCUGAGCAUUCAGCAGAGAAACUAUAGCAGACAUGAGUGAAAUGCUAGGUGAUAUCAGAGGUACACAUCCAUGCCUGUACGAAGAAUUAGAAGUGUGGCAGCUCCCAUCUUCAAAGUGGUCAUCCAAAGGCAUGGGCCACCACUCGUGUGAACAUAAGUAUAUCACUUCAUAGUUUAGUUUCCAUCUGACUUGCCGUGGGAUUUACUCUAGCUCUAGCUUUUAAAUGGAAAUGCAAUGCCUUUAUCCCAACUCAGUCUUGCAAUCUUUUCAACCUCAAUACUGAGUCUGAUCAGCACCAGUAUCUACAGGGAGAGACGUAGAAGACCCUGUGUUUAGCAGCAUUAGUUAGCAAAGCAAAGGUAUUUAUUACAAAGGACAGUUUCUUAUGUUUCAAAUAAGUAUAGUUUAAACCCAUACAGAUAAAGUUAUAUCACCUUAACAAUGCAUUGUUUAACUUUAGCCGGUACAAUUAUGUUAUUUUUGGUCAACCUACUGAGCAACCAAGCCAUCUUUCCUGUCCAAUCCAAGCGUGCUAUGUCUUUCUUCAUUGUGAUAUUAGAUGACACAAGAAAGAUGUAUCACAACAAAGCCAAUUGUCUUUUUUUCAGUGUUGAGAUGGUUAUUUUCCCUACUCUUCUUUUGCUGUGAGCACCAGGAAGAGAAAGUUUGUU